CGAGCACGCGCGUGUGGCAUAUCAAUAAGCGGAGGAAAAGAAACUAACAAGGAUUCCCUUAGUAACGGCGAGUGAAGCGGGAAGAGCUCAAAUUUGAAAUCUUCAGGUUCUACCUUGACGAAUUGUAGUUUAUAGAAGUGUUUUCUGUUAGUGGAGUGGCAAAAGUUCUUUGGAAUAGGACAUCAUAGAGGGUGAGAAUCCCGUAUUUGGUCAUUCCUCCUAGCGUUGUGAUACACUUUCAACGAGUCGGAUUGUUUGGGAAUCGCAGUCCAAAAUGGGUGGUAAAUUUCAUCUAAAGCUAAAUAUUGGCGAGAGACCGAUAGCGAACAAGUACCGUGAGGGAAAGAUGAAAAGAACUUUGAAAAGAGAGUUAAACAGUACGUGAAAUUGUCAAAAGGGAAGCGUUUGACACCAGUGUUGUUUUUCCGAAAAUCAAUUACGAAUGUUUUGUUUUUGAGGAGUUAUGACUUCAUCGGCUUGCUCCUUUCUUUACGAAACUUUCUUAAUGCACUUUUCGGUUAACAAGUCAACAUCAAUUUCUUUUGUUGUAAAAGGGUAUGAGGAAGGUGGCUUUCUUUUCGGAGAAAGUGUUUAUAGCCUUGUGCCUCUGCAAUCGGAGAGAUUGAGGUCUGCAGCGUAGAUCCUUCGGGGUUAGAUACGUUUGUGCUAAGUUAUAGCUUUUCAUAGACAACUUGUUGACUAUGUUUAGUCUUGUAGCUUACUCGCUUACGCUAUUUUACCUACGCUUAGGAUGUUGAACUCUAUCAACACACAG
rnacentral:rRNA from 1 species